rnacentral:lncRNA from 1 species
UUCAUUCAUAACCAUCCCACCGGAAACCCUCUUUCACAGCUCAUUCUUCCCUCCCCCUCCACCCUUUUCAAAACAUCCAUCAGAAGGGAAUGAUAAUGGCCAGUUCACGCCUUGCAAGAUUUAUCACAGAAGUUGUGCCAUCACAACUUGCAACUGCCCCAAGGAGGUCACGCAAACCAUGCGUCGCGAUGGAUACGAUUCGUGAAGACAGAGAAGAAGAAGAGAGACAUGCACGUGAAAGCUUCAGUCAUGCUUCUCUCUCUUCUUCUCCAGGAAGCUCUUCUGCUUCUUGGGCAGUGGCAGAUUCAACUGGUUUAAACUUCAAGGUCUACUUCAACCAAAUCCGAACAUCUUUGUUUGACGUUCAGAAAUGACCGCCUUUUUCAGUUGAUGGUGACGGUGUGCAUCUCCAAGGCACAAGACCUUUCCACCAUUUUGCUCAUCUGAUAGGAUAAGAUCCAGGGCUACUUUCGUGAGACGAGAGAGAGAGAGAGAGAGAGAGAGAGAGAGAGAGAGAGAGAGAGAGGUUUUACUCGUUACUUGGCUGUAAAGAAUUUUUUUUUUUUUAAAUUCUUGUAGUCGGGUUGUUCCCUCGUUUCCUUUUAUCUUUGAAAAGGAAUUCUCGUACCAUGUCUUCAAGGCAAUGUACUGUAUACAUGUGAAGUAAAACCUUUCCAUUUGUUUCUUCCA